GAUGAACGCUAGCGGCAUACUUAAUACAUGUGAGUCCAGGGGCACCGGAUCCCUCCUGGGAUGCCGGCUUACCGGCGAACGGGUGAUUAACACGUAUGGAAUCUACCCUUAACUGGGGAAUAACCUUGAUAAAUCCAGGGUUAUGCCUCCUACCAUCUUGAAAAGGCAUCUUUUCUAGAUGAAAACUCCGGCAGGUUAAUGAUGGCCAGUGCACUCCAUUACCUUGUUGGUGACAUAACCGCUCAGCCGACGCCGCGAUGGAUAGCUGAUCUGACAGGAUGAUCAGCCACAUUGGCACUGACACACGGGCCAAACUCCUACCGGACGCAUCCACUAUGGAAUCUUGGUCAAUUGGCCAAAGACCCCCACCGACUCAUGCCACGUGCACGAUGAACGCCCUAAAGGUCCUAAAUUGCUUUUAUUCCCGAAUAAAAACUAUGUUUCCACACAACUUGACUGUACCAAUUGAAUAAAGACCGGCCAACUCAAUCCCCCCUUCCGCAGUAAUACUGAGGGUCCAAACGUUAUCCAAGAGUCCCUGGGUUUAAAUGGUGCUCAGGCGGCUCCUUAACUCAUUGGUGAAACCCUUCUGCUCUCCCUUGAAAUUGCCACUUACACUACUUGGCUUGAGUGCAGUAGAGGUAGGCGGAAUGUAGCAUGUAGCGGUGAAAUGCAUAGAUAUGCUACAGAACACCGAUAGCGAAAGCAGCUUACCACACUGUAACUGACGUUGAGGCACGAAAGCACGGGUAGCAAACAGGAUUAGAUACUGUGGUAGUCCAUGCUCGUAAACUUUGAACAGUAGGAGUUUGCCACCUAGUGGUAAGCUCCGUAGCGAAAGCGUUAAGUGUUCCACGUGGGGAGUACGGCCGCAAGGUUAAAACUCAAAGGAAUCGACGGGGGCCCGCACAAGCGGAGGAGCAUGUGGUAUUAAUUGCGAUGAUACGUGAGGAACCUUACCCGGGCAUAUAAUGCGUGUGACAGUUAUGGAAACAGAGUUUUCGUUCGGGACACAGUGCAAGGUGUUGCAUGGCUGUAGUCAGCUCGUGCCGUGAGGUGUUGGGUUAAGUCCAUUAAGGAGCGCAACUCAUAUGGUGUAGUCCGCCAGCAAUGUUUGGUGGGCACUGUAAAGAAACUGCGUAUGUAAGUAGAGAGGAAGGAGGGGAUGACGUUAAGUCAUUAUGGCCCUUAUGCCAGGGGCUACACACAUGGUACAAUGGUGGGUACAGAGGGAAGCCAAUGGCGAACAAGGAGAUAAUCCCAAAAGCCCAUCACAGUUUGGUUUGGUGUCCGCAAGUGGACUCCAUGAAGUGGGAUUUGAUAGUAAUUGUGGAUCAGCAAUGUCGCGGUGAAUAGGUUCCCGGGCAUGGUACACGCAGCCGUUCAAGCCAGGGAAGUCGGGAGUACAAGAAGGCGGUAUCUGUACAGAAGUGGGUGAGGGUAAGCUGUGGCAAAGGGGGCU
rnacentral:rRNA from 1 species